rnacentral:rRNA from 1 species
UAACACGUGGGCAACCUGCCCCCGACCCUGGGAUAACCCCGGGAAACCGGAGCUAAUACCGGAUACUCUCCUCUGACCACCUGGUCGGAUGAGGAAAGGUCCGCCGGUCGGGGAUGGGCCCGCGGCCUAUCAGCUUGUUGGUGGGGUAACGGCCUACCAAGGCAUCGACGGGUAGCUGGUCUGAGAGGACGACCAGCCACACUGGGACUGAGACACGGCCCAGACUCCUACGGGAGGCAGCAGUGGGGAAUCUUGCGCAAUGGGCGAAAGCCUGACGCAGCGACACCGCGUGGGGGAUGAAGGCCUUUCAGGUCGUAAACCCCUUUCGGCAGGGACGAAGCGAUCUCGUGACGGUACCUGCAGAAGAAGCCUCGGCUAACUACGUGCCAGCAGCCGCGGUAACACGUAGGAGGCGAGCGUUGUCCGGAAUCAUUGGGCGUAAAGAGCGCGCAGGCGGCUUGGCAAGUCGAGUGUGAAAUCCCGGGGCUCAACCCCGGGACUGCAUCCGAUACUGUCAGGCUAGAGGUAGGUAGGGGAGAUCGGAAUUCCUGGUGUAGCGGUGAAAUGCGCAGAUAUCAGGAGGAACACCGGUGGCGAAGGCGGAUCUCUGGGCCUUACCUGACGCUCAGGCGCGAAAGCUAGGGGAGCGAACAGG